AGAUGCUGCUGCUGCUUUUGCCACACUUUGAGAACCACUGCCCUGGUGAGGCAGGGAAGCUGGCAAGUGUAGAUACGGCACAGGCAUGCACUAAUCAGAAUGAAUGGAGGCCAAAUCAGAAGCAACACCAGCUGUAAGCAAGUCUGAACCAGUGUGGACUGCCGGCUUGCAUUUCCACAUACAACGAAAAGCAAGACCAGACUCUUCACUCAGCAAAAGCCGUACUUGUUGACAUUUAGAGAAAAAAACAAUCAAGAGAAAAGUCAAAGAUCCUUCAAAAUCUCAGCGUUUGAAUAUUUAAAGACCAUCA